GUGGAUUAGAUACCCGGGUAGUCCACGCCGUAAACGAUGAGCACUAGUUGUUGGGUCCGAAUGGAUUCAGUGACGCAGUUAACGCAAUAAGUGCUCCGCCUGGGGAGUACGGUGGCAACACUAAAACUCAAAGGAAUUGACGGGGACCCGCACAAGCAGCGGAGCAUGUGGUUUAAUUCGAAGCAACGCGAAAAACCUUACCAGGGCUUGACAUCCCUCUGACAGAUCCUUAACCGGAUCCUUCUACGGACAGAGGAGACAGGUGGUGCAC
rnacentral:rRNA from 1 species